CUUGAUCGAGCCCAGCCACAGCGGUUCCUGACGAUCCUGGCCGUACGUCGCCAAGAUCGCCUGCGCCUC
rnacentral:antisense_RNA from 1 species